UACGAAGGGGGCGAGCGUUGUUCGGAUUUACUGGGCGUAAAGGGCGCGCAGGCGGCUCAUUUUGUCAGGCGUGAAAGCCCCGGGCUUAACCUGGGAACUGCGUUUGAUACGGAUGGGCUAGAGUUCGGGAGAGGAGAGUGGAAUUCCCAGUGUAGAGGUGAAAUGCGCAGAUAUCGAGGAAGAACACCAAUGCGAAAGCAGCUCAUCUGGGACGGUACUGACGCUGAGACGCGAAAGCGUGGGGAGCGAACAGG
rnacentral:rRNA from 1 species